rnacentral:rRNA from 1 species
AACGAACGCUGGCGGCAUGCCUAAUACAUGCAAGUCGAACGAGAUCUUCGGAUCUAGUGGCGCACGGGUGCGUAACGCGUGGGAAUCUGCCCUUGGGUUCGGAAUAACAGCGGGAAGCUGCUGCUAAUACCGGAUGAUGACGUAAGUCCAAAGAUUUAUCGCCCAGGGAUGAGCCCGCGUAGGAUUAGGUAGUUGGUGGGGUAAAGGCCUACCAAGCCUACGAUCCUUAGCUGGUCUGAGAGGAUGAUCAGCCACACUGGGACUGAGACACGGCCCAGACUCCUACGGGAGGCAGCAGUAGGGAAUAUUGGACAAUGGGGGCAACCCUGAUCCAGCAAUGCCGCGUGAGUGAUGAAGGCCUUAGGGUUGUAAAGCCCUUUUACCCGGGAUGAUAAUGACAGUACCGGGAGAAUAAGCCCCGGCUAACUCCGUGCCAGCCGCCGCCGUAA